AUUGAACGCUGGCGGCAGGCCUAACACAUGCAAGUCGAGCGAGUGGCGGACGGGUGAGUAAUGUCUGGGACUCUGCCCGAUAGAGGGGGAUAACUACUGGAAACGGUAGCUAAUACCGCAUACUAUCGGAUGACCCCAUAUGGGAUUAGCUUGUUGGUGGGGUAACGGCUCACCUAGGCGACGAUCUCUAGCUGGUCUGAGAGGAUGAUCAGCCACACGGGGACUGAGACACGGCCCAGACUCCUACGGGAGGCAGCAGUGGGGAAUAUUGCACAAUGGGCGCAAGCCUGAUGCAGCCAUGCCGCGUGUAUGAAGAAGGCCUUAGGGUUGUAAAGUACUUUCAGCGGGGAGGCGUUACCCGCAGAAGAAGCACCGGCUAACUCCGUGCCAGCAGCCGCGGUAAUAC
rnacentral:rRNA from 1 species